rnacentral:rRNA from 1 species
UACGUAGGGGGCAAGCGUUGUCCGGAAUCAUUGGGCGUAAAGAGCGUGUAGGCGGUCCGAUAAGUCCGCUCUGAAAGUCCGGGGCUCAACCCCGGGAGGCGGGCGGAUACUGUCGGGCUAGAGUCCGGAAGAGGCAAGUGGAAUUCCUGGUGUAGCGGUGAAAUGCGCAGAUAUCAGGAAGAACACCCGUGGCUAAGGCGGCUCUCUAGUACGGUACUGACGCUGAGACGCGAAAGCGUGGGGAGCAAACAGG